UUCAGGUACCCCCUGACUUUGGUUAAUAUGGCACAAAGCCAUGUUAAGCCACCUUGUUGUUAGGGCGAAUCAAACUCAUGUAUCAUGUGAAUGCUACAAGGUCCAUUCACCCCCACUCUGCCUGUGUAGAUGGGCCCGUAGUCUAUGAAUGGUUAUGUUAUCAACUUCCUUCUCCUAUUCUCUAAGGUACUACAAGAUUUUUUGCACUAAAAAUAGUUUUUAUACUUGACUCAGGGUGAGUCUACACUAUAUGAUAAAUCCAGGGCUAAUCUGAAGCAGAAAUGCUCCAGAUUGGCUCUAAAGACAACUAAAUGCACCAUCCUUAAGCUAUGAUGGUGUGAGAGAGGAGAAAAGCUUUGGAUGUGAUGUCUGUCUGCACAGAGACAGGUUCUGGUUGGUGGACUUCUCCCUGGAUGAAGGAGAUGAUGGCAAAUCACCCAGAUCUGCCCUCCUCCUCAAAGCCCUUACACUGCAAUCAUGACAACCAAGUGGUUUGGCAUGAAUGAAGUGGGGUAGUUGCGAAUACCAUCAUGCUCACACUGCCAAAAGCAAAUCUGUAAGGACAUCUAAGGCUGUCACUACACUUACUUUAAUUAUAUUGACACAAAAAUUUACUGAUUACACUUUCAAAGUCUAAUAAUUGAGAAGUGAUAUUAUUACUAUUUCAUCUCAUGCCAUGUACACAAAGCUUAAAAGAAAUGUGAGGUAAUUAUUAAAUGGAUAAAGUGAUUUAGUAACCUUUCUUCUCAUUGUUUGAAGCUCUUUCUUUCUUUCUUUCUUUCUUCUUUUUCUUAUCCUUUUUUGCUGGACAUACAGAAAUAUGGUGGGCUAUUUUUAAGGACUGAGAGAUCUCAUGGGAACUGGCAUAGUUUUUGAUGAAAGAAUAUGACAAAAUAAUAUAACUGUGACUUGGCAGUGGAACUGUAUUUACAGAUAUACAAGUGAAAUCAACAUCUUGAUAAUUUCCUGGAAAUUAAAGAUGACAACAUUUAAAGAAAUAAAUAAGGCUAAGGUCAAAGAGGAUUGUUUAGCUGACCAAAGAAAUUGUUGAAGAAAUAUAUAAGACGGUGAACUGUUGAGAGAACAAGUCAACCAGAUGCUGAUAAAGAGAAGUUGAAGAGGAGCUUUGGAAGAAAUUGAGGUGUAUACUGUUAGCGUCUUCAAGCAGAAGAAUGAAUUUGACAUGGACUGGAAUGGCUCAACACUUUCAAAAAGGUCAGGAGGGAUGGGGCUGAUCUAAUCUCUCUGGGGAGAGAGUUCUACAGCCAAGGGGCCACCACCACGAAGGCCCUGUCUCUUGUCCCCACCAAUCGUGCCUGUGAAGAUGGAAGAUAUGUUUGGACAGAUUUAGAGGCAGGUUUUGACCUUGGAGAACAACACUGACAUUGUUACCAAUGUCACAGGAACAGGCUUGUCGGCAUGUUGGUACAACAGUGAACCUUGAAAUCCAAUCGCCAAGUUAAAUCACCACCGGUUCUAACAAUACACAUUCUCUUUCAUCAUGGACUGACAACCUUUAUUGGAGCUUGGGCAAUAUAAGCCAUUCAGAAUGAAUGACCUGAAAGCUAGCAGCAAGUACAAUGAAAAGAUGGGAACCAAUAUACUUACUGAUGUGUCUUAUUAUACAAAUGCAUAUACAAAUUAUUAUUAUUUGUAUAUAAAAUUACAAUAUUUAUAUAUAACAAAAUUAUAAAUUUCCAAUGUUAUUAUUUCUGUUUUUAAAAGAUUAAUCUUGUUAGAAUUUUCUUUCAGAUGUGCCAUGUGACCAAUGAAGCACUGAAAAGCUGAUACACUUUCUUUUAAUUAGUCCAUGUAAUCUCAAUAUGUCAGCGAGAGAACAGUAGGAUGUGACAAGACUUAAGUUGUUAUCUGAGAUAAAUAGGAUUUCAGUUCUAUGGCUGGGGAUGCAAAGAACAUCCCUUUUUUUUCUUUGAGAAGAGGUUUUUUGACCUCAUCAGAUGGGGUGACUUUAGCAUCCUAGGAUGCUUUCACCCCAUCUAAAGGAUGAAGCCCCAUGCCAGACAUCACAUGAUGUUGAGUGAUUUCUGGUGGAGGCCCCAUCCCCAACCAGAGUAAAAGGAUUGCUGGUUACUUUUCCCCUCAACAUGGGGCCUUGCAGAGAGGGUGAUGCUUUCCCUAUGUGAUGGGGAAAGCAUCGGCAAGAGGGAGCUGCAUUAAGAUGACAGAUUCACCCCGCUGUCCCUCUCUUUUCUCCUAGAUGCCAGCCCUUACUUUGCCUGGUCUUUAUGAUGAGGCCCUUGGUGGGCUAAGGCACCUCCUUAAGAAAACAGUUCCAUUGCUUAUGACAGCUUUUGCAUUUUGGGGUUUGUCUGUAUGCAUCCCUUAGAGAAAAUACAUUUACUAAAAGGCAGUGUACUUUGAAAAAAAAAUGUAAUGUGGCGUCAAGCAUUGUUUUAUACACAAAACAUUUUGUACAAAGCUCUUCUGUAGAUGAACUUUUCAGAAAAAUGCCAAAAUACAAUAAAUAAGUACACAAAUAAAUAAAUGAAAAGUAUAGAAAUCUCCAAUAAUUUCACCCAACAGGGAAAAAAGCCUUUUCAGAUGAUUCAUUAUUACAUGUAUAAAUAAAAUUAAUCUUUAGUCUGAAAAGCAUAAUAGUCAAAUGAGUGUUGCAUGCUAUGAAGUAGCUAUUUAACUUCUAGUAGGUGCCAGGUCUAAAUAUAUUAUUCUUUAAAGAAAGUCCAACAGAAUGGCAUCAAUUCACUGGUCAACAGUUUGUAAGCUCUGGAAUAUUUUCCAUGUAGUCAGCCUAGCUGGAGUUGAUGCUAAUAUGAGUGGGAAGGUUUAAUUUAGUUUUUUAAAGAAAUUUUCAGUAGAUUGAAGAAAAUACAAUAUUCAUAUGGGUGGGACUGAUAUCCACAAUUGCAUUUAUCCACAUCCAUCAAAACAUAUCCACUCUAGUUAUUUUCUAGGUCUUGCAAUGUGUCUCCAUGUUAUUCUUGGAUUCAGUAUUAUAUUCACAUGUCCACGUAAAGUCUGGGAACAUAUCUCCUACGGAUACAAAGGUUGUACUGUACUCUUUUCAGUGUUUAGAAUUCCAACUUGGUGUUUGUCUAACUAGCCAAGAAACCAAUAUUAUAAUGUUUACUGCCAAUCUCCAAGUUAAAUGCAUAGAAAAUCUUAACUUGAAUCUAUUAUAACCAAAUCUCGUAAAAUAUUGUGUGAUCUGAGCACUGGUUUCGUUCUUAGAGACCAGUAUUGGAAUUCCCAUGUAAACUCUUCAGAUUGCCUUGGGUAAGUCACACUCUUUCUGUCCCAAAUCAAGGCAAUAGUCUUGUCAAGAAAACUCCAUGACAAAUUUACCAUAGGGUCACUAUGAAUUGGCAAUGACUAAAAGACGUACAAUAAUAACAAAAUCAGGAAAGCAAAACUAAUCCAUUAUAUUUUCCUGCUGAAAUGAAGGUAAAAUGGACCUAUCUAUCGUUUUGCAUAUAAAGGCCUCUGGAGUUUUUACUCCAACAGUGUCAAGGUGACAGAAGAUACAUCUAUACUGUAGAAUAAAUGUAAUUUGACACCACCUGAGCUCCCUUUGCUCGAUGCAAUUGAUUAAUGGGAGCUUUAGAUUUACAAUGACUUUAUCUUUUUUUUUUUUUUUUGCAAAAAUGCUGGUGCCUCACCAAACUACAAAUCCCACAAUUUCAUAACAUUGAAGCAUGGCUAUUAAAGUGGAGUCAAACUAUAUUAAUUCUGCAGUUUAGAUGCACCUUGUUUCUUCUACUUGGGGCCCUUCCACAUAGCCAUAUAAUCCAGAAUAUUAAGGCAGAUAAUCCACAAUAUCUGCUUUGAACGGAAUUAUCAGAGGGUCCAUCCACACAGGGCCCAUAACAUGUGAGUUCCUGUGGUUUUAUUAGAGGCAUCCAAACAACAUCUCUGGAAAAACCAAAUUAAUUUGUGACAAAGCAGGAAAACCCUGCUUUGUCCUGAAUUAAUUUGAUACUGUAUUAGACCCAGGUCUUCCUGAAAGACCCAGAUCUAAUGCAGUAUAGGCUCUAUGGGGACUGAUCACACAGCUCUCUCUGGUUUUUGGGUUCCAAGAACCCAGAAAACCCAGAAGACAUCAACCCCCUUUCUAAAAGACUGGAAAAUAUAACUUCGCUGGCUGCCAUUUAACUGCUGCCAGAGCACUCCAGGCACAUAGAAAUGCUGUGCCAGAAGAGGAGGAAAUAGAAGCAAUUUUCUUCCUUACCCCCC